rnacentral:tRNA from 1 species
GCCAGCGUGGCGGAACUGGUAGACGCGGACGCCCCACAAGCGCCUGGGCGCAAGCCCGUCCGGGUUCGAGUCCCGGCGCUGGCA